rnacentral:rRNA from 1 species
AGAGGGUGAAACUCCCGUCCGCCUGGUAGAAUGAGUCUUUGUCAACGAGUCGAGUUGUUUGGGAUUGCAGCUCUAAUUUGGUGGUAAAUUCCAUCUAAAGCUAAAUAUUGGUGGGAGACCGAUAGCGUACAAGCACCGUGGAGGGAAAGAUUGACAAAAGAACUUUGAAAAGAGAGUUAAAGAGUACCUGAAAUUGCUGAAACGGAAGCGAAGGAAACCAGUGUUUGUGGUUCAUAUUUCCUUGGCCACUUGUGGUUUGGGCGCUGUGAGCUUGCGUGGGUUUGGGUUGGUUGAUCCCUUUGGAACGAGCGCAGUCAGAGUUGAUGUCU